rnacentral:rRNA from 1 species
GACGAACGCUGGCGGCGUGCCUAAUACAUGCAAGUAGAACGCACAGUUUAUACCGUAGCUUGCUACACCAUAGACUGUGAGUUGCGAACGGGUGAGUAACGCGUAGGUAACCUGCCUGGUAGCGGGGGAUAACUAUUGGAAACGAUAGCUAAUACCGCAUAAUAUUAAUUUUUGCAUGAUAAUUAAUUGAAAGGUGCAAUUGCACCACUACCAGAUGGACCUGCGUUGUAUUAGCUAGUAGGUGAGGUAACGGCUCACCUAGGCGAGGAUACAUAGCCGACCGGAGAGGGUGAUCGGCCACACUGGGAGUGAGACACGGCCCAGACUCCUACGGGAGGCAGCAGUAGGGAAUCUUCGGCAAUGGACGAAAGUCUGACCGAGCAACGCCGCGUGAGUGAAGAAGGUUUUCGGAUCGUAAAGCUCUGUUGUAAGAGAAGAACGGGUGUGAGAGUGGAAAGUUCACACUGUGACGGUAUCUUACCAGAAAGGGACGGCUAACUACGUG